rnacentral:rRNA from 1 species
AGAGGUUGAUCUUGGCUCAGGACGAACGCUGGCGGCGUGCCUAACACAUGCAAGUCGAACGGAGAAUUUUAUUUCGGUAGAAUUCUUAGUGGCGAACGGGUGAGUAACGCGUAGGCUACCUGCCCUUUAGACGGGGACAACAUUCCGAAAGGAGUGCUAAUACCGGAUGUGAUCAUCGUGCCGCAUGGCAGGAUGAAGAAAGAUGGCCUCUACAAGUAAGCUAUCGCUAAAGGAUGGGCCUGCGUCUGAUUAGCUAGUUGGUAGUGUAACGGACUACCAAGGCGAUGAUCAGUAGCCGGUCUGAGAGGAUGAACGGCCACAUUGGGACUGAGACACGGCCCAAACUCCUACGGGAGGCAGCAGUGGGGAAUCUUCCGCAAUGGACGAAAGUCUGACGGAGCAACGCCGCGUGAGUGAUGAAGGAUUUCGGUCUGUAAAGCUCUGUUGUUUAUGACGAACGUGCAGUGUGUGAACAAUGCAUUGCAAUGACGGUAGUAAACGAGGAAGCCACGGCUAACUACGUGCCAGCAGCCGCGGUAAUACGUAGGUGGCGAGCGUUGUCCGGAAUUAUUGGGCGUAAAGAGCAUGUAGGCGGCUUAAUAAGUCGAGCGUGAAAAUGCGGGGCUCAACCCCGUAUGGCGCUGGAAACUGUUAGGCUUGAGUGCAGGAGAGGAAAGGGGAAUUCCCAGUGUAGCGGUGAAAUGCGUAGAUAUUGGGAGGAACACCAGUGGCGAAGGCGCCUUUCUGGACUGUGUCUGACGCUGAGAUGCGAAAGCCAGGGUAGCGAACGGGAUUAGAUACCCCGGUAGUCCUGGCCGUAAACGAUGGG